rnacentral:misc_RNA from 1 species
CUGUUCGAGUAAGGUAAUUCUCGGGAGUUUAGAUUUUUAUGUCGCGUCUCAAGGGAUAUUCGGAUACGGCUACAGCGCGCAUCAAAAACUCUCCCUACCCAGCAGCUUUUCCCCAUCUCCUUAUGGUCGCCGAGGGCUUGAGGGCCUCUCGCCCGAAGAGAAAUGAGAUGUUCAUGCCUGCCUCUCUCAUACCGAGCCACCGAGGGUAAACCAAGCUCACAUCUUUAAAUCUUACAGUGCGCAGAUAAUGUUUCUUUG